rnacentral:rRNA from 1 species
UGAGGAAUAUUGGUCAAUGGCCGGAAGGCUGAACCAGCCAAGUCGCGUGAGGGAAUAAGGCCCUACGGGUCGUAAACCUCUUUUGCCAGGGAGCAAUGCCGUCCACGUGUGGACGGAAGGAGAGUACCUGGAGAAAAAGCAUCGGCUAACUCCGUGCCAGCAGCCGCGGUAAUACGGAGGAUGCGAGCGUUAUCCGGAUUUAUUGGGUUUAAAGGGUGCGUAGGCGGCCUGCCAAGUCAGCGGUAAAAUUGCGGGGCUCAACCCCGUACAGCCGUUGAAACUGCCGGGCUCGAGUGGGCGAGA